GAUGAACGCUGGCGGCGUGCCUAAUACAUGCAAGUCGAGCGAACGGACGAGAAGCUUGCUUCUCUGAUGUUAGCGGCGGACGGGUGAGUAACACGUGGAUAACCUACCUAUAAGACUGGGAUAACUUCGGGAAACCGGAGCUAAUACCGGAUAAUAUUUUGAACCGCAUGGUUCAAAAGUGAAAGACGGUCUUGCUGUCACUUAUAGAUGGAUCCGCGCUGCAUUAGCUAGUUGGUAAGGUAACGGCUUACCAAGGCAACGAUGCAUAGCCGACCUGAGAGGGUGAUCGGGCACACUGGAACUGAGACACGGUGCAGACGCCUACGGGAGGCAGCAGUAGGGAAUCGUCCGCAAUGGGCGAAAGCCUGACGGAGCAACGCAGCGUGAGUGAUGAAGGUCUUCGGAUCGGAAAACUCUGUUAUUAGGGAAGAACAUAUGUGUAAGUAACUGUGCACAUCUUGACGGUACCUAAUCAGAAAGCCACGGCUAACUACGUG
rnacentral:rRNA from 1 species